AUACGGAGGAUGCGAGCGUUAUCCGGAUUUAUUGGGUUUAAAGGGUGCGCAGGCGGGCGAUUAAGUCAGCGGUGAAAGGCUCGGGCUCAACCGGAGCAGUGCCGUUGAUACUGGUUGUCUUGAAUGCGGUCAAGGCCGGCGGAAUGUGGCGUGUCGGGGUGAAAUGCAUAGAUAUGCCACAGAACACCGAUAGCGAAGGCAGCUGGCCGGGCCUGCAUUGACGCUGAGGCACGAAAGCGUGGGGAUCGAACAGGAUUAGAUACCCUGGUAGUCCACGCUGUAAACGAUGGACACUCGUUGUCGGCGACAGACAGUCGGCGGCCAAGCGAAAGUGAUAAGUGUCCCACCUGGGGAGUACGGUCGCAAGGCUGAAACUCAAAUGAAUUGGCGGGG
rnacentral:rRNA from 1 species